rnacentral:lncRNA from 13 species
CACUGGGCAGAAAAUGAAAAAGGACGCAGGCCCUGUCAUGGUGGUGGACACUGUACUCAGAGAUGCCUUGCUCAGCUCUGAUUCUCUGGAGCAGGAAUCCUGUCUGUGGCUCAUUGAAGACAGCUGCUCAGGCGGGUCCAGCAAAUGGAAAACAUACGGACGGCAGUAACAGACGGAGAUGCUUUCUGGAACAGAGGACCUUCUGGAGCCUUUAGGGGCAGCUGCAAGCACAUUUAGGGGAUAACAUGGCCUUGCAAAUAAGUACUGAGGACAUAUCAGACCUCUAAAGAGCCGGCUUACCCUAACCCUGGAGGAAUGACAAAAAGGAGUCAAGGAAAGGCAAGUGGGAUUUUUCAACUUUUCCCUGGAAUAAUUUCACCUUCUAGGAAACUUUUCUUCCUUUCUUCCUUGUUUCUCUUAGGUGUAUGUUAUAUACUUGUGGCUGGGGCAGGGAAAUGAGGACUAUGAUCAGAUCUAGCCUCGUAGGUUUUGCAAGAGGCAGUUUUGCAAGGUGGCCCAACCCCUAUUCCCCACAUGUAUAAAGCCUCAACUUAAGGUGGUCCAAGCAGGGAGGCUCAGAGCUGAGGUUUGCACAUCGGUGGAAAGACCAGGUCAGGGUAUUCCAUGGUUUAGAGUGGAUUGGAACUCCCAGUUUCAGUGUGCAGAAGGGGAAAACUCAUAAACCAAACACCCUGAAGAAGAGACAAGCAUCAGAAUUACCGAGACAAGGUGUAAGAAUUAUAGCAUGCCAUGGAGUCAAGGUCAGGAGCCAGAUGAAGGCAGAACCAGGACGGUGUCCAUCUGGGAUGCUGUUUAGGAGUAAUGAAGGGGAUGCCUCUGUCUGACUUCAUCCCUGGAAACUGGAAAGUGGGUGUGGACUGAUUUAAAGGCACGUGGUGGGGCAGUUGUUGAUAUCAGCUUAAAAUGUACACACGAUGCCUCGGAUCGGUCGUGUCUGGCCACUAAGAGUCAAGGCUGUGGCAGUCUGGCUAGCUCCCUCCCACCCUCCACUGUACUGAGAGUCAAUACCAGUUUUAAUUUUAUUCAUGGUGCUUGUACUUGUU